UUGUGUUUUAUACGAAAAAUACAGUGCCAAUAAUAUUAUGGAUGGGCUCCUGCUGGUUGUAGUAGUUUAGCUUUUUACACAAAUUCCUUCUGCCAUUUGUGUCUCACAACUGUUUAUCUUUAAGGUAACUGCCUACUUUAGGAAAAGGAUUUAAACUUCGAUUUUCCGAAUUGAAAUUCAAUGCUGAUUCCAAAUCUGAAGCUUGCGCACAUCAAGGGCUCAAAUCGAAUGUUCAAAAGUAGUCAGCCACCUUAAUACAGCCAUAGGCAACAUAACUGUAAACAGUGAGAGAAAAUCAUGUAAGAAUUCUUGACCAAUGUGUAAAAUAAUUAAGCUGAAGUUGCUGAUGAAAAUCUGGGCUAAUUCUGUGGCUUCUUGUCCACCAUCUUGAAUUUCUUAAAUCCAUGGGGAAUUGCUUUAUUUGUAAGUAUCCUUAAGUAAAUGUUUUAUGAUUAUUAAGCCUUAAUCAGCUUUUUCAACAAAUGAAAAAAAAUCAUGUUACUUGUUAUCUGGUUACUUGGUUUACUCAUUACUGCGUUGCUUGUUUAUAGUAACACCUGCUUGCCGACAGGUAUAUGGUUGGUUGGUCAUGUCAAAGUUAAAUUAAGGUAUUAUGUUACAGCUUACCAAAACCAUAUCUCCUACUGGUGCCCAGUUCAUGCACAGCAGAACUUCUCCAAUGAAAAUAGCUGUCUGUAAUGAAUACAAGCUGAAUUAUAUUGAAUAAUUAUUAGCCUGGGCUAAUGCAGACAAGGGUAUUUGACAUUGAGUUUAAAGUACGUUAUAAAACAUUCUGAGUUUGGGUAUGCUAUUCUGAAUAGCAAGUGAGCACUGACAAUGUGACCAGACGCUUACUCCACCCAUUGGGGGAGACCUCAGCCACAAUUCCUGAAUUCUACAUGAUAAUAUCAUCAGAAAACUGCCUCAAUGAGAGAACAAACAAACAACAAAACAACUCUACAUUUUGAUGGUGGAACUGAGAAUUGAACUGAACUGUACAUGUAGUACCACCCAUCUUUCAUUUCUUGAUGCUUAAGGCUGGAGAUGGAGAAAGAAAUAAAACUUACCCUUAAC